rnacentral:rRNA from 1 species
UACGUAGGGUGCGAGCGUUAAUCGGAAUUACUGGGCGUAAAGCGUGCGCAGGCGGUUUUGUAAGCCAGAUGUGAAAUCCCCGGGCUUAACCUGGGAAUGGCAUUUGGGACUGCAAGGCUGGAGUGCGGCAGAGGAGACUGGAAUUCCCGGUGUAGCAGUGAAAUGCGUAGAUAUCGGGAGGAAUACCGAUGGCGAAGGCAGUUCUCUGGGCCGUAACUGACGCUGAGGAGCGAAAGCGUGGGGAGCGAACAGG